CUCAAAGCCCCCUCCGCCACUCGGCUAAUGACGCCACUGGCGACGAGCAGCCGGGAGGACCAAUAGCAACAGCAAGGCAAAAGGGGCAAAAUGAGUGGUACGUGGAGUUCUGCUUGGUUGGAAAGCUGCUGCUCUCCUUCCUCCUGGCACAAGGACGGCUGCCCAGCUUUCCCCAAUACAUGGCAGCAACCCAGAGAAAGAAGCAGCCAUGAGACAGAAGAGCUGCUGGGAGCUGUGAAAUAAGGAAUGCUGCUACAUGGCUGGCAAUCAUGGGGAUGCCAAAAGCUUUGGUGGUGUAAUAAGAUCACCGAUGAUGGACACAGACUGAACAUCCAGCCAGCCUUAAAGACCUGUCCAAAAAUUGAUCCAGGUGGCACUCAAUCUGGAAGGAAUGUACUUUCUUUUGGGAUUUGCCAUGAUGAUUAUGAUGAUAUCUUCCAGUGGCCUUCUAGAGUUUGCUAGUUCUUCCUUAUGUAUACCUCUGAAGAUUUCCCAAGACAUCAGUCCUGAGCAGGGCUCCUUUUUAUUCAUGAUUCACAAAUGUUUAUGUAAAGGGCUUUUUUAAUUUGCAUGAACAUACGAGGAAUGGCUGUUCUUGGCAAACAAGGUUAUUCACUCUUCAGCACUGUUACUGAGAUGUUUCACUCAUCCAACUGAGAUGCACAAAUGAUACCAUGUGAUUUAAAUGACUACUCACAUUCCAAGAAUAAUGAAUAGUGAAUAAUAAACUAAACAGUUGAAGUCAACAGUUCAUGAACACCCUUUAGGCUGAAAACUGGCCAAACUUAUAGAGCAGAUACUUGCAAAUAAACAAAACCUUGUGCAGAAAUCAGAACUGGUUCAUACAAAAUCAGUUCCCCAAAAGGGUUACAUGUCAACAAUUUAUUCACAACCAGCUUUAGUCAUAACUUACAAAUACUUUCCUAGGUCUGGCAGAAAUAUUCACUAGUAUGUACUGAUUGCAUACCUCACAAAAACAGAGAGAGACCAGUUUUAAAGUAUGGAAGAGAGCUGAUCAGAAAUUGUUUUGAAUUUCUGAUGAACAAUUGGGGGAGGGGAUUUUGGCGACAUUUUUCAGGGAAAAUAUUUCCCGUGCUAAUCCUAGAUCUCUGUUAUAUUUUUUUGUAAGGCUGCACUCUGCUGAGGAGCAGAAGACUGUGGAGGAGUCAGGAGGCUCUUGAAAGGCUCAAGGUUGUCAAUUUCAUGAUUGUAACAUGGGUCUUAAAGCCCCAGCUCCUUGAGUCAUGUGAUUAUGUGAGAAAUCAGUUUUCACAUAAAAAGAAAAUAUGUUUCUAACGCUCAUUGUGGCAAAGAAAUCUUGGAAAUGUGAACCCUAAAGGCUCAGAAAAGAGAAGGCAAAAGAACCUGCAAUUUAUUAAUUUUAAGAACGUGAGAUUUUUAAGCCAAUCUCAUGAUUUUGGGGGGGCCUGGAUCAUGAUUUAUUUUAAUGCUUUGGGGAUGGAAAUACUAAAGGCUCCCAGUUCAGGGGAGGGUAAAGGCUGAGCAGCAAAAGCCAUGCCUUGCUGCACAUCCCACAACAUGCCUUAACACAACUAGAAUAGUCCCUUUCUGCCAGGCAUGCAAGCAGCUUAUGUCUGUCCAUGGCAGGACGGAGAGGAGUCCAAGUGCUCUCUCCCCUCUAUAACAUACCUGUGUAAGGAGAGCCAUAAUUUCUACCUUGUAUAUGGCCUCAUCACUAUAGUACCUGAAUGGCUCACAAUUAUUAAUGACUUUAUCUUCAAAACACCCUGGUGAGAUAGGGAAGUCGUAUGACUUCCAUUCAAUAGAUGGGGAACAGAGGCCUGGAGAGGAAGUCUGUAACAGAACUGAGAACAGCACCCAGAUCUCCUGAGUCCAAAUCCAGUGCCUCAUCCAGAAGGCUUCAACUUAGUCAUGGAGGUUGCAGAAAUUGUGGAAUCCAUGACUUCUAGAAACCUCCAUGAUUUCAGCAUGCAGCGGUGGGGAGCUGCAUAGUCCCUGCGGCAGCCAGGGGCUGCGGGGAAUCCCCACUACCUGAGGCAGCGGAACUCUGAGCCACCGCAGGCAGCAGAGGAUACUCUGGAGCUCCCAGCUGCUGUAAGCGGCAGGGAGCCCCACAGCUCCAAGCUGCAGGUGGCAGGGGACCCGGAGCUCCGACUCCCAAGGGGUGGUGGAGUCCCAGAGCUCCAAGCUGGGACCUCCGCAGCUGCCUAGCCACUGCCAGUGGCAUAGGGACCCUGCAGCUUCCCAUUUUGUCAUGGAUAUUUUUAGUAAAAGUCACCGCCAGAUCACGGGCUUCUGCAAAUUUUUCUUGAUUGCCCGUGUCUUUUACUAAAAAUAUCCAUGACGACAUCUUACUCAUCUACAAGACCACCAUCAGGCUAUUCAUAUAUUGUACUUGCUUCUUGCCAAUACAGUGACACUUUUUAUGUUGCAACUACAUUUUCUAAGUGACUCCUGACAUUUUGCUAUCUGACAGUGUAACAACAGCUGUUUCGGUAACAAUAGCUGUUUAGAGGGGAAAACUAAUGGGCAGCCAAAAACUCAUCAGCAUUUAGUGUUCAGUUAUCUAGACAGAUAAAACAUUGGAAAGCAUAAUUUGGAUGUCUAUUGUUGUGCGGAUACCUGAGUUAUGCGUUUAUCUGAUAUUGACUUAACUGGAAUAACACUACGUGCAAUUCAAGGGGGCUGGAUCAGGAGUGUGUGAUUCUUAUGCAGGUAAGAAGAUUGUGCUGUUAAGCAAUGCACGCUUAUGUGGAGAGUACCGCUCUGUCACAUUUAGUCACUGUUGACCAAACAUGAAUGCAGUUUUAAAUGCUUUUCUCUCACAGCGUCAAAUAACUUAUAACAUGGUUUGCCAUAAGCCUGAGCGUUUCAAAGACUUCAUUAAGGGAUGGUCGAUAACCUCCCAGGACAGGAUGGUCUAGACAGUAUUUGGUCCUGCCAUGAGGGCAGGGGACUGGACUCGAUGACCUCUCGAGGUCCCUUCCAGUCCUAGAGUUUAUGAGUCUAUGAGGAGUACACACCAUUGUUUAUUUUUAGGCCUUCAUUCCUGGAAAGCUUCCCUGCUCAAUGGUAUCUCUCUAUUCUUACUCUCCAUCAGUGCCCUAGAUUGUUUCAAACAGGAGACUGGGACAGCAAUGGCUUGAUAAGCUCUGCUGCUGCUGAGUAGCAAAAAGUGUAUCUAAAGACAGAAGGCUUAUGUUUGAGUGUUUCACUAAAGAUUUGCCCUUUUAACCCUUGAGCAAGGCAGGGAAUAAAAACAGCAUUUAUACUGUAUGUGCAUGUGUAUACAUAUAUUAUACAUAUCUAUGUAGACAUACACCCUAAUGUGCAUUCCCCAUUUUACUAACACACACAGUUCUGCAAAGAACAAAUCCCUCUGCAACCCAUCCA